UUUUAACACUCUCAAUCUAUCCAUUGCAUUUCUUAAUAGAGUUGUUAGAGUUACAGUCUCUCUGCUGAGACAAUCAGAGAAAGAUGAAACUCCUCAUAACCUCUUUAAUCAAGUUCUGGUGCAGUAUCAGUAAGGUCCAGCAGAUCCCUAUGAACCUUUCCACUUCCAUUGUUCUUCCCAUUUGCCUUCUGGGUAUGGGCUUGAGAGAAAGAUUUCUCGUCUCUCCACAGAGCUAGGCUGGAAUUAGACUGCCAAUACUUGCAUGUGCCCUGGCAAUGUAAUUUAGCAGGUCAUCAGUCUAUAAUGAAGGCUUAGAUUCUGGUGUUUUAAUUUGUUUGAGGUGGCUGAGUGUCUCCUUUCUUUAUUGCAUGAUUUUUCUGUAAUUGUUCCAACUUACACAUAGAUCACAUAGAUGUUAGAUCUGCUAUUUAAACACCACAUAGUGCUCUUCACUCAAAAGCGUGUGGCUGUUAUCAAACUUAAAAGAACAUGGAAAUGUGAGACACUUUCACAGCAGUAACAGUCUAAGUUACCCUUUUAAACUUCCCUCAUUCUGCAACCUGAAGGACCAAAUGCACAAUCAUGUGCCACUCACAGCUCUGAGAUCCUGCUACAGCGAGGCAGACCUUAGCAAGGGAGAGUGAAGCAGGAGGGUAAACACUUGACCUCUCUCAUCUUAGCUCCUAUUAUUUAUGCUCAGAUAACCACUAGCUUGAAGCUGAAAAUAUGUCAGUGUAGUAACUUUUCUAAAAGUAACCCCUAUCAGGCUUGAAGGCCUUCUCUUUUGAAAGCACUUAAUCUCAAAAAUGGUUUUCGACUGUGCUCUGCUCAUGGAUCUUUAUGGCAUGUAGAUGAUGCCUUUAAGCCACAGGAACAAUGCUAAUCUUCUCUUGAACUUGCAGGGACUCCUGAAUCUUCUAUUCCUCCAGUCCUAUUUAAAAUGUAUUAAUUUAGAGAAAUAGUCUUUUCCCUGAGUGGAGGUUAUUGCUUGGUUUCUGUUAAUAAUUUAUUGCUCUAUCUCCUGUUUUUUAAAAGAUAUUAUGAAUGAUAUGGCUCUGUGUCUAUAAAAUUUCCUUAAAUAGAUAAUUUCCUUCAAGUGCCAUUUCACUCUUUAGAUUUCCUUGUGUGCUGCUGCACACCAAACCAACCCAGGAAGGCAGUAAGCCAAGCAGGGUCCUGGUGAACAUUUGUUCUGUUUUCAGCAUUCUGUAAAUUGUUUAUCAAGGGCUGUGGCCCAGCCUAUGUGGUAUUACGUAAAAUGACAUUAAAAAGCAGUCAGAAUGAACUACACAUUAAACUCUUAGAGUACUUUAGAAUUUGUCUGUUGCAGGGAGAAGGAUUUGAAGUGAUGUUUUUUGAUUGGUUGCAGUCAAACUGGACAUGCACCAAAUGCAUAAUUUUAGACAGAGCUGAUUGCUGUGCAGGUCCACAGAAGUGUCUGAUGUGACUCAUGCUUAGACCCUAUUUUCAGUUCUUUCUUAUGUUGGUAGCAAUUAUCUGUCUGAAGCAAAGUUUUUCCUGACAUGUCUACUCAGGUAGAAUUACAAUUAACUCUGAUACAAGGGAACAGUUUGUUUCAAAAUCUCAUAAGAACCAUGUUACAGAAAUUGCACACGAGAUGCAAAGAGAACUUUGUGUGAGAUAGAGGAGGAAGAUCUCGGGGUUCAAGAGCUUUGAGGAUAAUGUAGUCUCCCAAAAUUAGACUCGUUAUUCAAUAUUGAAACAGCUUUUGUGUGUGACAGGACAGAAUCUUCCUUUUAAAUGUAUCGGUUGCCAGUCACGUGCAGUUCUAGCUGUCAGGAGCUGUCCUCUAUUUCAGUUUAAAAAAACCCAAACAAACCAAAACAGAUCCUUUUUAGAUUGUUGGAACUUAAAAAAUAAAAAAAACCAAGGUGAAUAACUUACUGGGUUUCCGCUGACAUGGAAGUGACAUCAGUCACUUAUUGGUGCCAGAUGUUAUCUUUAGCCACAUGUUUUUGGCAUGCUAGUCAUUGCAGAGGGCUUCAUGGCUCCUCUGGGGAACCGGAGCUGUAGCACACAGUGCAGACUGGCUCAAAACAAUUUUCUGCCAUACUCAGGCUCAUAUUUAGGUAAAAGGUUGAGCCCAGAUAGGUGUGAAGCAAGUAGAAGUUUGAGUGCCAGAGUCCCAAGUAGGUCAAUGAAUGAGAUGGGGACUUCCUCUCUUUGCAGAGCUGGUCUUGCUGUGACCAACCUAAGGUGUCCUCCUUAUAUGUGCUGCUAAUAUUUUUCUCUGCCUGGGUUUGUCUGCUGAGUCUUUAAAUAGUAAGAGAAUCAUAGAAUCAUACUAUCAUAGAAUCAUUAAGGUUGGAAGGGACCUUAGAGAUCAUCAAGUUCCAACCCCCCUGCCCUGAGCAGGGGGAAGAGUAGCAACAUAAUGCCUGAAUGUUAAAUAGUACUGUGCUAGUCAGGCAAAACCAGCUCUCAGUUGUAGUGCUUUCAGAGAGAAGCAAAAAUCACUUUCAGAGAGAAGCUACAUAUAAGCCAGGUGAAAAUGAGAGGGAUUUAAUAGAGGGGCUGUAAGAAUCAACUGCUAGCCCAUGAAGCAUACAGUAAGUAUCCUUUGUUCCCUGCUCCCACAAAUAACCCUAAUAUUUUAGCAUUAAGAAAAAUGAGUUAAUCUGAUAGCUACAGAAGAUUUAAAUAAUUUAAUGUAGUUUGGAAGUAGUAAAAAAAGAAAAGAAAAGAAAAGAAAAGAAAAGAGAAGAAAAGAAAAGAAAAGAAAAGAAAAGAAAAGAAAAGAAAAGAAAAGAAAAGAAAAGAAAAGAAAAGAAAAGAAAAGAAAAGAAAAGAAAAGAAAAGAAAAGAAAAGAAAGAAAAGAAAAGAAAAGAAAAGAAAAGAAAAGAAAAGAAAAGAAAAGAAAAGAAAAGAAAAGAAAGAAAAGAAAAGAAAAGAAAAGAAAAGAAAAGAAAAGAAAAGAAAAGAAAAGAAAAGAAAAGAAAAGAAAAGAAAAGAAAAGAAAAAAGCUAUGCAGUGCUCCAGAGUAGAGGCUGUGCAUGCUACAGCAUCCAGGGAAUGUUAAGAAGUGAAUGUACUCCUUAUUUGCAGUUGGUCAGGCACGACAAAUGAUCAUCAGAUCACAGAAUAGUUUCAGUUGGAAGGGACCUUAAAGAUCAUCUAGGUCCAGCCCCCUGCAUGAGGAGGGACACCUUCCCCUAAAUCAGGUUGUCCACAGCCUCAUCCAACCUGGCCUUCAACACUUCCAAAGAUGGGGCAUCCACAGCUUCUCUGGACAACUUCUUCCAUUGUCUCACCACCCUCACAGUGAAGAACUUCUUCCUAAUGCCUAAUCUAAAUCUUCCCUCUCCACUUCAAAACCAUUACACCUUGUUCUAUCAGUACAUGCCUUUGUGAAAAGUACCUCCUCAACAUUCCCCUAGGCCCCCUUCUGGUACUGGAAGGCUGCUAUAAGGUCUCCCUUCUCUUCUUCAGGCUGGACAACCCCAACUCUCUCAGCCUGUCUUCAUAGGAGAGGUGCUCCAGCCCUCUGAUCAUUCUUGUGGCCCUCCUCUACGCUUGCCCGAACAGCUCCAUGUCUUUCUUGUGCUGGGGGCUGCACAACUUCUCUGGGCAACUAGUGACUCUGUUUCACCACCCUCAAAGUGAAUAUUUUUUUCCCAAUGCUUACCCUAAAUCCACCCUCUUCUCUCUGAAAGGAUACACAAAGGAGACAUAUAUAUAUAUAAAUAUAUAUAUAUAUAUAUAUAUAAAAGUCUUUCAACCAUUCCAAGAGCAUUGGGCUGUUUACUGUGUUUGCACGAGUUGCCUCUGGUCAGAGGCUCACAGCUCAUGCUGACGCUUUACCAGUUCUCCAAUGCAGAUUCUUCUUAAACAGAAAGCAAAGCAAACACACAAACCAACCUUUCAGAAAGAAAAUCACUCAUGACAGAAAGAAAAAAAAAGGUCCUGAAUCCAGACACUCUUCAGUAUGUAGGUGAAGCUGAUGGCUGUGACUAUAUAAUGGGUUUCCUCUCUGUGUUACAGGUGGGACAUUUCCAAGGAGGAGGGUCCCAGGAGAUUAUGGGCUUGUAGACAUGAGGAUAGUACAAAACAUUGCUUCAGUCUCUCUGUACUUGGUCUUGAUUUUCCCUCAUCCAAGCUAUUUUUAAGGCCCCCCAAAAAGGAGAGGCCAUUAGAUGAUAUUAGACUAUUCCCUCAUUGCUUUGCUCACUAUCUAGGUCUAGUUUCUGCCACAGCUGUGUUGGUUCAUUAUUUUUCAGUGUACUGCUCCUCUUGUUUACCAGACAUAAUUUCAGUAUGUUUCCUUGUGCCCUGCAUGUGCCAAUUUGUCUUACCUGAGCUCCCCUCAGAACAGCAGGAGAAGCUGUGGCACAGCUCAGCAGUGGUUGUCUGCUCAAGUAUUUACCCAUCUUCCCAGCAAGAUUUUGAAGUUGUUCCUAAAUUCUCAACUGCAAGAGAGGUGUUAUUGUCAGCAUCCCACCUAGCAAACAGAAGGCCAGUUUGGUUAUGUCUGCAGGGUGGUUGCUGGAGGGUGUCUGACUAUAGAUACACUCUGUAAAGGUAAAUGCCUCAGGCAGCAGGUGUCCUUGCAGCCAAAUUCUUUUAUGCUAGUGGCAGUCACUGGUACCAUGGGAUGCUUUCUGCAGGGCUGAGCCAUUAUUUCCUUGGCACUGAAGAUGCUGCUAGCAAGGAAGGGGUGUAUUUGAUCAAGUCUAAGCUCUUCCCCUUCAGCCCACGCACUUUGGCAAGCUCUAUGCAUCAGCAAAGAGGGAAAUCGACUCUGAUACUGUGAAAGACAGGAAAAAUAAUCAAUGCCAUGUAAUUAUUAGCAGUCCCAGCCCAAUAGCCAGCAUCUCGCACUGCAUCAAAAUCAAAAUCAUGGAGUCCAAUAUUAGAACAUCAGUGUUAGCUGAAUAUUGCACCUUUGAAUAUAUGUUGUCUUCAGUUUCCUCUGUUAUUAUUUCCUCCACUGUUUUUUUUUUGUAAGGAGACAACAAGGAGCAUGUCCAGUUUGCCCUACUUUUCAGCAGUUUUAAUCAGCAGCACUGCACUUCUGGCAAUGGCCUUACAAAAGCAGGAGCAGACAUUAGACAGGAAGGGCCUCCUGAGCCCCAGAGCCACUCCCUCUUGCUGUAAUCAUAACAUAUCAACUCGUUUAGCUCCGUCUUAGCUCUCAUUAGGUUUUGUGCCCCUGCUUUGACCAAAAUGUGGUUCCAUAGCCUCUCUCUCUCUUCCAAUGGCAAGAGGCCUUUCAUUUCCAUGCUAAAUAUGUGCACAGUCACUCAUUUUAAUGUAUUACUUAACACACUUGCUCUUUGCAACCAAUGUCUUCUGUUUUUUCUCCACUGGGUUUAACCUACUUCAUAGAAUCACAGAAUGGUUUGCUUAGGAAGGGACCUGAAAGGUCAUCUACUUCCAGCUCACCUGCCAUGGGCAGGGAUACCUCCCACUAGACCAGGUUUCUCAAAGCCCCUUCCAACCUGGCUUUGAACACUUCCAGGCGUGGAGCAUCCACAACUUCUCUGUGCAACUUGUUCCAGUGUCUCACCACCCUCAUAGUAAAAAAUUUCUUCCUAAUGUCUAACCUACAUCUACCCUCUUCUCUCUGAAAGGAUACAGAAAUCAAGUUGUUUUCCUUUCCCCCAAAAUAAAGUGCCUAUUGCUUUGGCCAUCUGAACAGAGCUGCUCUGCCUCUGUUUAAAUAUAAAUUCAAAUAUUUGAAUAUUGAUGACCAGAUUUUUAACCAGUUAUCGAGUCUUUUGUAUAGUAGUCCUAGCAACUUUUGCAUCCUUCUCCAUUAAUAAGUAGUUAGCUCCAAGUAGCCUUCAAAAUAUUUGCAAUGUAACUAUAUAUUUUCAUUAUCAGGUGAUUUAAUUAGUUUCCUUAAUUUCUAAUAAUGCUCUGUCUUCAGAAAAGAACUUGCAAGCCUACUUUCACAUUUGCUUCUAUUUAAUAUAAAUUCAGCUUCUUAGUAUUCGGGAUUUUAUUUUUAAUGUUAAAUCUUUUUAAAUGGUGUUGGCAAUUACAAGUCCAAUAAAAAUAGCAUAUAAUCUGUUGGGUUUUUUUUGACUAUUUGGCAGAGAAAUCUGCCAUCCAUCCCACCUAGAAAUAACUUAGCCUGCUAAUGCACAUUUUUUCUACAUUCUUUGUCUAGGACAUCAAAGUGUCCCUUAAUGAUGUGAUUAUUAGUAAAGCUCUCUUCCUAGUAACAUUACCUAAAUAUCUAUUGCAGCCAGACCUCAUAAUGAAGUUAUAUAAUGGUUUCUCAGCCCAGUAAAACCACUUUUUCCUUUUUUGUCUCAGUGAGAUUGAGACAAAUACUCUUUUGCCCAUAUCAUUGUCUCUACCUUUACACUUUCACACUUAGUUCCUUUGUUGAUGCACCCCACUGCCUUUGUCUUAAUCUCUGUCUUUCUUCAGACUGCUUUUCCUCCAGAUGUCUCCUCUGAAUGUGGCUGCUGUUUUACCUCAUGCUGUCGUCCCUUGUGGUGUCUGAUUUCACAUCCUGUUCCAACAGUUUGACCUUGCCCAGUCUGUUUAUCAGCCUCCUGUGUUACUGCGUGCUGGGGAAGCAGUUUCUUGCCAGCCAUCAUCAGUAACCCAGCUAGGAGAGAAGCAGUCCCAUGGAAGUGAUACCAGUUACUUGACUUUGGUUCCUAUCACUGUGAGUUUCUUUCCUCAUGCUCCAUCAGACGUUGCCAUAUUUUUGGUUACCUCGUUAGUUAUUCUGGAGAACUAGAAUCAUGCCUAGUUUCCCCCUUCACUUUUUCUAGUCUUAAGUCCUUUUUAUGAGCCACACCAACCCUGUUUUGGGAGAAUUCAGGAUUCCAUUCGGCAAGCUACAUCGCCUUUCCCAUGACUGCUUCCCUGCAGCUGGUUUCCCCAUAAUAUCCUCAGAUACACUUUUCACAGUCCUUGCUUUGCAAAAAAAGCAUGAAACCUGAUAGACAGAACCUGAAGGUGUCCCACUUUGCAGGUAGUCCCACUUUCCAGUAGUUCCCAGUCACAGGACAAGAGGCAACAGGCACAAGCUGGAACAUAGGAAGCUCCAUUUAAAGAUGAGAAAAACUUCUUUACUGGGAGGGUGACAGAGCACUGGAACAGACUGCCCAGGGAAGCUGUGGAGUCCCCUUCUCUGUAGAUAUUCAAAAGCCACCUGGAUGUAGCCCUGUGUAAUGUGCUCUAGGGGAUCCUGCUUUAGCAGGACAGAUAGGAUUCAAGUAUGUAAGUAUUAACAAAAAAUGCUGUGAUUGCCCUGAAUGUAUCCUGAUAAACUAUAGCAAAGUCCUUUUGUGCAACAGAGACACAUCCGUGGGAGUUAAUUUUUCCAGAAAUGUCUUUUAUCCACAUUAUUUGUUUUAGCCCUCGAUCUACUAAUAUUCAACACAAAUUUAGAUUCUCUUUGUCCUGUAGAAAAUUAUUGCUUAUAAAAUGUCAGUAAUUUAUAUCAAGGAUAUGUCUUCACUGAGAAGCCAGCACACGUGAAAUUUUAGUUGUGCUGCUUUGUUCACUUCAGUGCCACAUAAAUCUGUCCUGGCUCUGCUCACAAGCUGUGCCAAUCCAAUACUGGUAUUGUGGGAAAACCUGUUUGGAAGUGCCAUUACUCUUCCAGUUCAGUAAACUAAGCCAACAACAGGAAGGAAUACACUGUUGUGGCAGUGAAUGAAAGUCAUGUUCCAGGGAAAAAGGAUGCUGAUGGCGUUUUGCACUGAUGUAGAAACACAUAGUGUUGUGGAAGUGUAGGCAGUAAAGACAAUCAACAAAAUCCCCCUGAGCUGGUCAGUUAUUAUUUUGCAAGGCAGCCUUGAGCCCAGACUGGCAUUACCACACAGUAAAUUGAGAAUAAUCAUCAGUAUUUCAACAGAGAUGCUAUGAGACAAACACUGCUGAUCUGUCAAGUGCCGUGCUGCUUUCUUUGGUCAUCCUGAACAUAGUCUUUAGUAUUCUAUUUAUUUCCCAUGCUGAGGCUUCUCUUCUGGGAGUUCUUUUGUUGUCAUAUGCAUAGAAACUUCAAAGUUUCUGAUUUCUGGGAUCUUCCCAAAUGAGGAGUCUUACUCAACUCCUACCAAAAGCCUGGUGCAGGCAAGGUCAGGACUGGGGAUGCAGUUCCUGUUCAAAUGUGGCACAAGGAUGGCAGAAACACAGCACAGCAAUGAGAAGGAAUUGAUCUUUCAAUGCUAAAACAACCUAGGCAACUUCCAGUGCUGAAAGGAUGAUUUGAGAAGGCAAGAAAAUAAGGCCUUUCUAUGAAUCUGCAGGACAGGGUGGCAGAAGUAACAGUUUUUGAGUUAAUUUGAGAGGUAGACAUCUGUCAGUCCAGGCCAAAUCCAAAGAAAAUCUUGAAUCCUCAACUGGUUUUGCUGUAGCCACCCUAUCUGGGAUUUCUCUCCUGUGUGCAUGUCAUAGGAAGCCAGUCUUUGAGCAAGAACCCAGACUAACCCUGCAGUAAAGACCCAGAGAAGUAGAUUUGAGAACACUUGGGAGAAACUAGUUGCAGGGAAGCAGUCAUAGAAAGAGGAUGCAACUUGCCGAAUUAAAUCCUGAGUUCCUACAAAACGGGGUUGCCAUGGCUCAUUGUUCCCUAUUUUAGACAUGAUUACCCACUGUAGCUGGAUGAGAGGUGUUACUUAGGUGCACCAGUAACAUUGUUUGUUUGGGAAGUCAUUGGAGGUGCACUCUGGACUGGUGUGACAACAGGAGAGGGGCACGUGGGUUGUUUGCAGCUCUCUUACUUGCUCAGUUCACCAAACACAGCUGAACUUAAAGGAGCAGGUAGCAGCAGCAGAGGCCAUGGAACAAGGUCCACAUAGACUCUUAAAGAGGUUUUGUCCUACAAGUUCUCUGUAAAAGAAUAUACAUCCACCAGCCCUGAGAUUCAGGCCAGAAUUCCUGUGGAGGACUUACACUCAAUUUUUGAAAGAAUAUGUGUCUUAAAUGCUGCUCAAGGUACAGUGCACAAGUCAUCAAAGCUGCUGACAUUGACGUAACAGUAUUACAGUUGGUUGGAAACUUCAGUAGCUUCAGACAAGCUACUUCUCCUUUCACUGUGCUGGGCCAGGAGGAUGUAGUCAGGCCACCUUGAACUAUCCAGGUCAGGUGAGUGAAGAGCAGUCAAUGAUUUUCUGUUGGUGAUAAACUCAGGUUACUAUGGUGCUGCUUGGUUCCCUAUACUUACCAGAUUGCAUUAUAUUUUUCUACCAUCACAAAGGUCUUUAUUCUCUAGUGAAGUAGGGAAAAAAAAUUAGUUUUUGCUUAAUUUAAAAUUAUCUAUUAUUCAGGUCUUUCUUCAUGAGUGGAAAUACUAUCAUUAACUUAAUGACCUUAAUGAUCUAAUUUACCUUAACUUCAGGUGCUUAAAAUUUAAAUAGGAUUUUGAAAUAGUCCCAUAGAUAUCCUUUGUCUUUGAUGCAGAGAAGGGGCAUGUCUGGAUGUGGUUUGUUUUACUGCUGGAGAUACUGGUCACCUGAUGAAACUGAUACAGACAGCUAUUUUCUGGGGAAUGGUGGGAUCCAUACCUGUUAGAAACUUACUAACCAUCUUUUAAGGGCAAGUUAAUUAUUAAACUCCUAUUAAGGGGAGUAACUACCAACCUUGCACAAGCUUGCUCCAAGACAUACAAACCUGCUACAGUAACAUGUAACAAUAGGUUAAAAGUUUCCAUAGUUUUGUUGUACUUUUUGUUUUUUUCGUUGGUUGAUUUUGUAGUUCUGUUUUCUUUAUUAAUAUAUAUAUACCAAUGUUUAACUCUAUUGCAGGGCACUUAUGAAUUUGUGCCUCUCUAGGGUAGCCUUUGGUGGGGAUUUCAAUACUUACAUCCCAAGCUUGCAGAGAUAGACAUGUGGCAUCUCCUCAGGCCAAACAUGAAUACUGGAGUCUAGGAGAACAUUACAAGGUGAAAGUGAUUUUUUUGGUGUUCCAAUGUGUAACAACCAACUGUUUGUGUCUUCUUAAUUACCUUGAUAAUUAGUAAAGCAUACUAUUUUUGUUUUGUGCAAUAUUAUUCUCUUAAAACUCUGUGUAUUAUAUGUGUGUGUGUGUGUGUACAAGUACAAAGAUCUAUUAAAAAAAACCCUGCAGAGAUCACCACCAGCUAAAAGACAUUAAAGUCACCAGUGUGGUGAGAUGAGUCACUCUGACAUGUACCUUUUUUCUUCACCAGCUGUGAAGGGAGCCAAGAGUGAUCAGCUCAUAAUUGAAUUCAACUUUAAGGUGACCAAAAGGUGGCAAAAGAAUUACACCUUAAACUUCACUGAAAUACAAGGCAGCAGUUUAAAUGUAUUGAUUUUCCAAUUAGUACCAUACUUUCUCUAUAGUGGUUCCUAUAUCCAAAUAUGUGGUGAUGAUGUCUUUUAUUCUCCACCUUCAGUGUCUCCUUGAUUAUGAGAGUUUCUGCAGUUAAGUCUCAUGCAUGUCUGCAGAAGAUGCCCAACCUUUCCUUGCCAUGUGAGGAGUGCACUGACUUGCUGCUUCAGUUUGUUAGUUCAACCUUUGGGCCAUUUACAAAAAAAUGGUUAAAUCCUGAUUCCUUCCACUUAUGUCAACCUGUCAUUAACUUUCCUUUCCAAUUGGUUUAAGGAGUGAAGAAGGUUUUAUUUACUACUCUUGUUUCACUGUUAAGUGGGAAUAUUUCCAAGCAUCUUAGAGUCUGUCAAUCAGUUACAUUUCAAAAUUAACAGGAUGUUGGUUGGGAACAAGGUGUUCCCUGGAGCUGUGAAGGUGAGAGUCCUAACACAGGUAUGUGACUAAACUAUGUGACAGUACAUAAGCUACAUCCUAAACUCACUACCUUUGCGUGCACCUCCAAAAUGCUAUGGUACAUGUAGGUAUCUUCAGUUUUACUUAGCACUUAGACUUGAAUCUCAGUUUACAGCAAUUAGUUGACAGGACUCAAGCUUUUCCCAGCAGGCCAGGAAAAGUCUGGUGUCCUGCUGCAAAGCAGUCCCUUGGGUUCCUUAUCCAGUCUUUGCACUGGCAGCACAACUUCAUCUUUUCAUGCUCUUUCAGUGACUCAGAGGUUUGACAAUCUGUACAGUUUUCCUGUUGACACCACGAUCCCUGCAAAAAGAAGAUUUUGGUGUAGCGAGUCCUUGCUUAAGAGCAAGAACAAGUAGUCACUGCCCUGGGUAUAUCCUAUGGCUGAUGUGUUGGAUUAUUUUGAUGGGCCUGGUUCUCAGAAAUGCAGCAGAACUAAUACAUUACAUAACUAGCACCCAAAAUUGGCUGGGAUUCAUUCAUGGUUACUUGUGAGCAGUAAUACCCAGCCAGACAUUGCUCUGAGGAGAUGUGUGCACUAGUACUUCCAAUUAGGAAGUCACCACAAAAUGUACAUUUCUGAAACACUCAGCUCUGCAGCAAGUGGAGUUGGCAUUGCUUGCUGGCAUUGUACACAAAGAUGUUUGGAAAAGAGCUAAUUGCAUUGUGCUUUGACUAUGUGAACUGAUGAGGUUCAUUAAUGAAUGUGCCUAGGCUUAUUGCUUCACUAAUGUUAGUAUUUGCUAUUAAUGACACUGUUUACAACUGUUUGUGCAAUACAGUCCUGUUUUUCACAGUGUAUGCUCAACUGUUCCUUUGUUUCAGUGAGGCUUGAGUAGAUCCUUAGAUGUAAAUUGUUCCAAAAGUGUGGGACCUCACUGUGAACAAAAUGAAUAUGGAAGGACACUUGAGGGCAUUCAAACCAUCCUGAAACAAAACACUGGGAAGGUGACUCUUUGCUGGAGUAAUGCAAGACUUUGUCAUAAGGAAGAUUUUAAUUACAAUCCCACACUCAGUGUUUUGACAGAUUGCAGACACCAAUGUUGUGUGUGCUUAUUAUCUGUGAAAUUCAGCAAUUCUUCCCUACAUUCACAUGGCUGAAAGCCACCAGGACCUUGAUUUCCUGCAGGCUGAGGCAGGCAGGCAGACCUCAAAGUGGAGAAAGCAGAGCCCUUAUGAGUCAAAGCUUCAUGGGAAAACAUGUUCUUGACAGUUUUUGUCUCCACAAAAGGGGUUAGCAUAACUAACCAAGAAACUGGUGUAGAGAGCUGAGAUCGAUGUUAAAUUCCCUUGAUGUUUGCAGAACAAAUUGAUGAGCAGGCAAAUGAGGAAGAUGAACUGCAGUGUUCAAGUCUAGUGAAAACACUGGGUAGUUUCCAAUGCAGUUUUCAAACUAUCCAAGAUAAAGAAACAGUUGAUGCAAUCAUUUUGUCCUCAUAAGUUCAGCCUGAAACUCAGACAAUUAUGUGAUAUUGUCUUUGUCUCUUUUUCUGCAGCCUGCUGAUUUUGAACUCUUCUUGAAAGUUCUUUAUUUGGGGUUGAUCUCUACUAGCAUUUGCCUUCCUGAAUAUUAGGUUGUGAUACUGGGUGAAAAAAAAUCUAAAUUGUUGCUUGUCUGCACCUGCAAUGCUGUUAGCUCAGUACAGUGUGCAGGGGUUCAUGUACCAGCAGGUUUGAUAUAUAAGAAGCAUUUGUCCAUAUAGCUUUCUGCAUUUCAUAAGGCUAUGGAUUUCUUUGCUACACACAGAGGCUGUUGUGCUGGAUCAGAUCUGUGGUGAUUCAUUGGCUUAAUGCUUCUAGAACCAGAAGCAACAUUCACGUGAGAAUUUCAAUUCAAACCAAGAAGACAUGUAAGAUAGACACUUUUAACAGAGAGGGUGAUUCACCAUUGGAAAAAACCUAGACUUGGUCAUAGCAAAUUUUUCAUCCGUGUUUGCAAAUUAGUGCUGGAGGUCUUUCUGGAAGAAAAAACAAGUAGCCAAAACCAAGUUACUGUGUUCAAUAGAAGGAUCACUGAAUGAAAUUAGCUAGCAUAUGAUAGAAGAAUGAGCUACAUGACGAGACAGUCUUUUCAGUCUAUUUGUGUUACAUGCAGAAUAAUAAAGUCCCUAGGAACAGAAAAGACUGGCUUUCUCAGGAGGACAAGGACUACCUCUGACUCCUCUUCCUCCCCCAGCCAGCAGAAGCUGAGAAGGUUUAAUGCUGCUGGCGUGGUGCCUGCCUUUGACAGAGACCAUUGGCAUGGCACUGAUAGAUUCAGUGCUGAAGCUGUGUGUUCUCGCUGCAGGGCUGGCUUUAGAAAAUCUGAGUCGUUCUGCAAAAUCAGCAUGUGUUUUGCUUGGGAGAGAAAUGGUGUGGUGGAUUGUGUGUGUGAGGAGGAAAGCAGCAAGGAAGAUCAAAUUAAUUUUCUGUUCCUAGCAACUGGGAUAUGUAGUCACCUGGGGUUUUUUUGUGGUUUUGAAAUGUUCAAUAAAUUUGAAAUAAAUUGUGAAUAUGCUUUAGUCCAUAGUUGGUUGUCAGGGAUACAAGUAGCACACAUUUGGUUUCACUGGCACAGAUUGUUUAUGUCUCUGAAUUUGUUAUUCAUGCAGGCCAGAUCCUAGUAGGUGUUUUAGUGUACAAUCUCUUUUUUAAGGAUCGUUGUGAUCUCCUGUUGUUUUCUACCCUAGAAAAGGUCAUAUUUAAUCUAUGGCAGUAAAAUAAAUUCAUGUGUUAAUCAGGGCCUGGAUCAGGCCUCAUUGAGCUGCAGAGGAGCAGCACCUACAAGGUGAUGAUCCAUCACGCCCUUAUUUUUUUGCUGGGAUGGUAUAGACACUUUCAUUUUGGUAUAAUUUUUCUUUCACAUUCACUGGUCUUUCCUCUAAUUUACCCAGUAAGGUUUACACUUCUGGAUGGCCUCCAGUAGACACCAAACUGAAAUGAGAAAUCCCACAGUCCUCCAUGUGCUUUAGAGUUCACGUCUCUUAUAAUUAGCAGAUUUAUGGGAACUCAGAGAAAGUUCAGGUGUUCACAGCAGCUAGAAGCACACACAGUGGCAAAAGUAAUAGCUCCUAUCUCAAUUAUUUACAGGCUUUGGCCAAAGUGGUAAAAGCUAGCUGCCAAAUCUUCAGUUGCAAAAUCAGCCCCUAAAAUUACGCGACUGAAAGUGUUGUGUUUUUCAAAGUCGCUGAUUAUUCUUCCACUAGGAUUCAGAGCGGCUGAAAGUGGGGUGUUGUGUUGUCUAACUUUGCUGUGCCAGAUCCUAGGAGUGAAACCCAGCAGUGUGUGUUCACUGGUUAUGUUCUGCUCCUGGAGAGGCUGGCGGCACGUUGAUGCUACAUUGCUUUGUGGCCCUGUUUUAGAUAAUGCCAGUGAGUCCUCUUCAUGACAGUGGUGGGACCUUGCUUCUGGGAAUGAUCCAUUCCAAGCAUCCCUCCAAGAAUGCAGCAGGACUGAACAAGAGCAUGUGGCAGUUCUCUCCCCUGCGUUUCUUGCACACCAGCAUUGGUCUAUGGCUAAUUCCACCCUUUUGGUGCCAAAUUGUCCUUCUGUCCUAUAAGGGUCAGCCAGUGGCUCCAUCAUCCCCAGCAUGGUGAAAGCCCAGAGCAGCAGUCCAUCCUCCAUGUGCUCUGCAGUGUGGAUGUCAAUAUCUUGCCUCCUGCGUGAAACUCCUCUUUGUCCCACUUGCUGUCACUGCUGUACUGAGCCACAGGAACUGCAGGAAAUGAAACACAGUUUAAGUAUUUCAGACUCGGGUCUGAAAGAUGAUGAAUUAAAAACCAGAGAGAAACCACCACUGCGGCCAAGCAGUGCAGUAUAGUUGCUUGUGAGAUUUUGUCCUAACUCAUAUUUUGUCGAUUUUUGUACUUUAUUCUUAGAGACUUCACAGCCAGCUGCUUUAUCCCCAGCAUUUGUAUUUUGUUUUUUCAUAGCUUAAUCUCUUAUGACUUCUAACUUUUACCUCCUGAGUGUCUGGAGUAAAAGCUCUCCCUCUUUGAUAUCAGAACACAAGGUAUUUGUGUUGACAAUGGCUAUGCAAAACACCGAGCUACAAAAGUGGUCCAUCAGACUAGGACAGUCACUCAGGAGUUUCUCUGUGAGUUAUUUAAAACUAAUCACAACCUUCAUUUCCUCUCCCAGGCAGCAUUUUUCUAGGGUAUGAGCUUUAAAUCCUACUUCUUAAUGAUUUGUUAUAACCGUGAGAUGAGGAUCUGGCUAUUUUGACAUUCAAUUUAUUUUAAGAAUUCACAUCACUAGUCAGGAAAUAUAGGUGCCGAUCAUGAGCUGGAAAAUUCAUCUUGCAUGCUGAUGCUCCUGAGAGAUUGCUUUUCUUUGUUGUGUGCUUUGUUGUAUUUGAAAAGCAUCUUGAAAAUUAGUACAUUGAAAAAUUUUCUAUUUUCCUAAGGUAAUUCAGAUCCAGCAGAAGAUGUAAAAUACGUCAAUAAGGCAUGAAAAUUGCACUGAAUUAAUUAAUGCUAAAGCUACCUGUGAUUCCCAAGGUAUUGCUAGACAAACAUUAUUACAUUAAUGUGGACUGAAUUUAUUAAGAAUGUUGUCAUCAUAGAUUCCUCUUUUAAGAAAACAAGUACUUGCACAGACUGUGUUUGUUGUUACUUCUGCACACACAAAAUCGAAUAUGUAACACUUGGAAAGUCACCUUGCCUUUUCAAAUAAACCUCAGAAGUUUACCUGUAAGUAGUAGUUGUUUAGUUUGUGAUAGAUUUGCAAUGCCCUAGGGCCCUUCCACAAUAUUUAUGCAAAGCAGAUAAUCAGCCAAACAGGGAUUUAGUUCUCUUAAACAAUUACUUACAGUAAUUUUGAGAAAAAAUCUGUGUGUUUUUUUUGGUUUGGUUUGGUUUGGUUUGGUUUGCUUUCCAACAGAUACUGGUUUUUAAUAACCUUAAUUUUCCUCUGUUUUCUUGAGCUUUUUGUAUUUGGGACUAGAACUUCCUUCAUAUUUUGAAUUCUCUUUUACCUUAAUUCCAUUAAAGGAAUACUUAUUGUGA